rnacentral:rRNA from 1 species
GAUGAACGCUAGCGGCAGGCUUAACACAUGCAAGUCGAGGGGCAGCAUUACUGCUUGCAGUAGAUGGCGACCGGCGCACGGGUGCGUAACGCGUAUGCAACCUACCCUUAACAGGAGGAUAGCCCGGGGAAACUCGGAUUAAUACUCCAUAAUAUUAUAAAGCAGCAUUGUUUAAUAAUUAAAGAUUUAUCGGUUAAGGAUGGGCAUGCGUAAGAUUAGCUAGUUGGUAAGGUAACGGCUUACCAAGGCUACGAUCUUUAGGGGGCCUGAGAGGGUGAACCCCCACACUGGUACUGAGACACGGACCAG